UAGCCUGUACAUUUCGAGUUCUGUAAAGAGAACCCUCCCUCACCCCUGGGCCAAAGGAAGUGUAUUUUUCUCUGCAAACAAACUCCUUCUGGGAGUUCCGCGGCAUUCUGCAUUCUCUGCACCAGAGUUAGAGGUCUGUGCUCUAAUUUCACACAAAAAGAGGAGGCAGACUCUUCUCCUGGACUCCCCUGCGUGUUCUCCUGCAACAGUUGAAAUCCUUCCACUGAGGAGAGACAACAGGAAUCUCACAUAGAUCUAUGGGUAUCACUGUUUGCAAUGUGGAUUCUCUGAGGGAAGAUGCCAGUCAUGAUGGAGGGUUUUCAGCUUCCCAUUCACAUUUUGGAGAACCAGCUCGCCCUGAAGAAUUCAGCCAUUCAAAACGAUACAUUUGGCCAUGUGAAUAUAGUGGAUAUCGAUUCACCAAAUUGGAUGAAUAGCUAUCUUU